GCUGCCACAGAUGGGGCCCAAUUGCUUGAGCCAUCACUCAACACCUGGCUUCCUAAAGGAGGUUGUGAAAGUGCCCGCAACUCUCAAGCCCUGAGCUGGUGUUUGAUGCAGCGGUUUCUCCAGGUCCUCUCUGUGAGAAAGGACAGGAAAGGGCCCAGGGGAAAAAAGAAAUCCUGGUGCCUAUCCCAGUGAUUUACUGUAACCAACUCAAAACCGUGAGAGAGAAUACAAGCACAACUUAGGGCUCCAUUCUCUCAACUUCUCACCCAGCUCUGGUCCUUUACAAUGUUUACUGUGCAGCCAUCUGUGAAUAUCUUUGUGAAACUAGUUAAAGCCUUUUAUGAGACCCUAAACUUCUAGUUACACUAAUUUCCCAGCCCCCCACGUGAAUUAGGUCUUGAGUAAACAAAAGGCAGACUUGAGGCUGGAGAGCGAUUGUACCGUGUUAAAUGGUGCGUUUAACAGGGCCAGCCCACAAAUUUUUCCGUUCCCAUCCCUGGGCGUGCAGGCAGCACCAAAGCCCAUAUAACGGACUCUUUAUGUGGUACUUGGUUAGAAAAACGUAUUGACAAAGAAUCACAGACAAAUCAUAGCUGUGACCUUUAGUGCUGAAACAAGGUUUUCCUUGGGAGUGAUUUAAUUACCCAUGCAGCUCACUGGCUGCACACAUUAGCAGACUCUGUCUUUCCAAAGGCCACGGCCAGGCCAGGCUGGUUUGUCUUUCCUGUGAAUGUGUGCCCAAGUGCUGCUCCUGUAACGAGGCUCUGUUGUGCCAUACAAGGAUAAACAGCGCACAGCAUCCAGCUGGACUCUGCCAGCCUGAACGAUCGCUUCCCAGGCACCUGCUGCCCAAGCCGACCUUGGAUCUAGCAGUGCCCCUGGCCUCAGACUCGUCGUUCAGAUGAAUGAUGCAGAUGCUGGUGCCAGGCCCUGUGGCCUGCUGCAACAUGGCUGGACUUUGACUACCAGGUGUAGGAACAGGGGUAGGGGGCCGGGGCUACAUUGUGAGGUGAAAUAUGCUUGUCUUUGCCUCUCUCAAUGCACACUGCCUUCCUCUAGCCUGAGCUCUUCUUGGUCUUGCAUUUCUGAGAGCUUGAGGAAAGCAGAAACUAGACACUAAAAGCCAUGAAUUCUAUGAUUCUGUUUAUAUGAAACAGCCAGAAAAGGCAGAUCCAUAGAGACAGAAAGCAGAUUAUUGGUUGCCACUGGCUGGGGCAGGGGGAAUGGAGAGUGAUGGCUUCAUGGGUUUGGGGCUUCUGUUUGGGCACUGGUGUUCUGUUUGUGAUAGAAAGGUUCUAAAACUAGAUAGUAGUGAUGGUUGUACAACAUUGUGAAUGUCAACAUGUCUCCAAAUUGUAUGCCUUAAAAUGGUUAAAACAGUAAAUUUUAUAUUAUUCAUAUUUUAGCACAGUACUAAAAGGAAAUGCACUAUCAAGCAAUGA
rnacentral:lncRNA from 1 species